AGGAUAAACGCUGGCGGCGUGCCUAACACAUGCAAGUCGAACGUCCUUGCGGUCUUCUUCUUCGGAGGAGGACCGCGAGGGAGUGGCGGACGGGUGAGUAACACAUGGGUACCUGCCUUUCAGUGAGGAAUACCGGCGAGAAAUCGCCGACAAGACCGCAUAGGCUUCCUUCGGUAGCCCGAGGGAAGCAAAGUUACUUCGCGAGAGGUGACGCUGGAAGAGGGGCCUGUGGCCGAUUAGCUAGUUGGGGGGUAACGGCCUCCCAAGGCGACGAUCGGUAGCUGGUCUGAGAGGACGAUCAGCCACACUGGGAUUGAGAACGGCCCAGACUCCUACGGGGGGCAGCAGUGAGGAAUUUUCCGCAAUGGACGAAAGUCUGACGGAGCAACGCCGCGUGCAGGAGGAAGGUUUUCGGAUCGUAAACUGCUUUUUCUCGGGGACGAGCAAGGGACGGUACCCGAGGAAGAAGCCCCGGCUAACUACGUGCCAGCAGCCGCGGUAA
rnacentral:rRNA from 1 species